rnacentral:rRNA from 1 species
UACGAAGGGGGCUAGCGUUGCUCGGAAUCACUGGGCGUAAAGCGCACGUAGGCGGACUCUUAAGUCGGGGGUGAAAUCCUGGAGCUCAACUCCAGAACUGCCUUCGAUACUGGGAGUCUUGAGUUCGGGAGAGGUGAGUGGAACUGCGAGUGUAGAGGUGAAAUUCGUAGAUAUUCGCAAGAACACCAGUGGCGAAGGCAGCUCACUGGCCCGAUACUGACGCUGAGGUGCGAAAGCGCGGGGAGCAAACAGG